CAAUUUAACACAUCCUUGCUGAAUAAAAGUAUUGAUUUUAUUUUAAAAAAAGAAAGUUACUGACCAGUAGUGUAUAUUGUUAUUACAAAAUAUUUGUUUUCUUUUAUUUAUUUUUUUUUACUUUUUAUUCAUCAAAGUAUCCUAAAAAAGUAUCACAUGUUCUGAAAAAAUAUUAAGCAGCAGAACUGUUUCCAACUUUGAUAAUGAAUCAUCAUAUUAGAAUGAUUUCUAAAGGAUCAUGUGAUAAUGAUCCUAAAAAUUCAGCUUUGCAUCACAGAAAUAAAUGAUAAUUUAAAGUAUAAUAAAUUUAAAAACAAUUAUUUUAAAUUGAAAUAAUAUAUCACAAUAGUAAAUUUUUUUCUGUAUUUUUGAUCAAAUAAAUGCAGGCUUGAUGAGCAGAAGAAACUUCUUUCAAAAACAUUAAAAAUAGUAAUGUUUCCAAACUUUUGGUCUGUACUGUAUAUAUCAAUUCAUUGCAGAAACAGGCUUCCACAGUCACGUGAUCAAUGACAUUCCAUUCAUUUCAUUAGUCACCUAGAAAUGAUUAACAGAUUUUAGUUUUACAUUUUAUGCAAGUUUAUAAUGAAGAACUUCUGAUCUCAGACUGUUUUAUUAUUAUUUCUAUGAAUAUUUCAGGCGGCUCAGCUCUGCAUCGGAGUGUUUGUCAUCUGUAUCGGCAGCCUCUUUACUCUUGAAUACGGUCCGUCUCAUCUAGUGUACACCCUGCCUAGUGCCCUGUUCAUUGCAAGUGGCAUUCUGACAUUUGCAGCUGGAAAUUCUCCAGUCAUGCCUGUGGUGAAGCUGUCCUUCGUAUUCAACAUUAUCAGUCUUUUCUGGUCCAUCACAGCUAUAGUUCUCUGUCCAAUAUUACAAGAAGGACAUCCGGGUCCGCCUAACACCCCAGAUGCCAGUAGAAAGAUAAAAUUGUUUGUGGGGCUGAAGGUGGUGAUGGGUGUUUUGUGUGGCUUCGAGUUGAUUCUGGCUCUGAUUCUGAUCUACUGGGAGAGUAAAGCUGUGUGCCGAGCUCAUUUCAACACUCUGCCCUUGAUCACCAUCAAGCAAGAGGUUUGAUUGGACGGGCGAGAUCGAGGACAGAUGACCCAUUUGUGAACUGAACUUUACAUUUACAUUUAGCAGAUGCUUUUAUCCAAAGCGACUUACAAAUAAGAACAAUAGAAGCAAACAGACCAACGAGAGAACAACAACAGUAUACAAGUGCCAUAAGUCUCAGUAAGUCUAGCUACAGUAUGUUUUUUUUUCCAAGAAUAGGAUAGACAAGAAAAGGUAAGUGCUAGUAUUAGUUGGUCAAGUGCUGGCGAAAAAGAUGAGUCUUUACUGUAGAUGUUUUUUGAAAAUGAGUAAAGACUCUGUUCAAAUUGAGAUUGGGAGGUCAUUCCACCAGCUGGGCACAGUCCAGGAAAAGGUCCGUGAGAGUGAUUUUGAACCUCUUUGGGAUGGCACCACAAGGUUUCUGGAGGGUGCAUAAGUUUGAACUAGUGAGUUUAGGUAUAUUGGUAACUUUAAUUACAUCUGAAUUGAAUGUCUAUUAAUGUAUAUAUAAAUGUUCGUUUAAUGCCUUGUUUCUGUAGCUCAGCUGGUGCUGCAGAGUCAGGGUCAUGGGUUCAAUUCUCAGAGUGUGAACAGAUCAAAUAUUUAGCAUGAAUGCACUGUAAAUCGCUGGAUAAAUGUGCUUGCCAAAUGCAUACAUGUAAAUGUGCACAAUAAGCUUAUAGUUUUCUAUGCAUUUGCUCUAUAUUAAAGUACUGUUUUUAACCUCUCAUCAUCUGUCUGUGCAAUACUGGAUAAUAAUCAGUCAAGCUACUAUAAUAUAUAUAUAAAAUAUGUAAUUUGUUUUUAUAUAAAUUGCAUUAAGUAUAUUUGUUUUUUUAUUAAUUAUACCAUUUAAAUAUACUAUUUUUAUUUAAAAAUUAAAUAUAAUUAAAUGAUUUAAUUAUAUAUAAUCAGUCAAGC
ensembl:lncRNA